UACAGAGGUCCCGAGCGUUGUUCGGAUUCACUGGGCGUAAAGGGUGCGUAGGUGGUAGGGUAAGUCGGAUGUGAAAUCUCGGAGCUCAACUCCGAAAUGGCAUUGGAAACUGCUCUGCUUGAGGGUUGGAGGGGGGACUGGAAUGCUUGGUGUAGCAGUGAAAUGCGUAGAUAUCAAGCGGAACACCAGUGGCGAAGGCGAGUCCCUGGACAACACCUGACACUGAGGCACGAAAGCUAGGGGAGCAAAC
rnacentral:rRNA from 1 species